rnacentral:lncRNA from 1 species
CUGACACCCCCAGCUUCUCAUCACCUCCAGGUCUGCGAUAAGUGUUGCAUAAAUUUUGGAAAAUCAUUGAGCCACAAAAUUGUAAAUUCAAGGAAGCUUCUAGUUUUAGUCAUCUGAAAGGCAGGGCUCCAGUUUCCCUGAGUUCCAGCAACGCUUCACUCUGGUGUUGACUUCAUUCUUGUGUGAGCUUUCUUCAGGAGGCAAGAAUAAUGCCAAGCCUGCAUCUUCACAGCCUGCUGUCCCAAGGAAUUAAAACAAUAACAGGAGAAUGGAAUAUCAGGACAGGGAAACAAGGAAAAACAUUAUCAUAGUGGUCCAGGCAAGUAUCAUUUAAGCUUAGUAAAUGAUGGUAAAGUGCGUUAUGCACAAAGGUCCUAGACCAUUCUUGAAGCCAUCCUUCAUCACCCCGGCCUAAAAUGCCCAUUCUUUUCUACCAGCCAUUAGAUGGUUUCUGAGUAUUUACUCUAACUGGGUGACAAGCUUGGCUCUGGGAAUACACCACUAAAAGACAUUUCUUAUGUCUUCAAAGAAUCUGGUGGGGGCUGUGGGUAAGUCAGCAGGGACAAUAUAAAGGGCUGGUUGUCAUCAUGGAGGAGUGCUGGAUGCAGUGGAGGUCCGUGGGAGGAGCACGACUCCAGCUUUGCAGAACAAAGGGGAGCUGAUGAAGAAUUCUAGAACUGGAAGACACAGUCAGACCCAAAUGCCUGUUUUUGAAGGACAGUGGAAAACGGAGAAGAGGGAAGCACCAGCAAGACAGAAAGGAACACAACCAACCUCCCCCGAACGGGAGGCGCAGAGGAAGCAGGCGGCUGUGCUCCUUGAAAGCAGCCAUCCGUCCAACUCCAUUUCAAUAAUGUUUGCAAUUUUCCUCCUACUGGGUUGACUGGAGGCACAGCUGCCCCAUAUGCGGGUCCAUGCGCCCAGCUUUUGCUAAAAAUGACCCUAACAAAUAAAAGGUGAAGCGAGU